rnacentral:lncRNA from 1 species
CUCAGCCGAGCAAGUGAUGGAGACAAAAGUUGCAGAGCAGGCAGUGGAGGAGCAACAGGGGAAGAAGAAGAUGAGGGUGAUGGUGGCCAUAGACGAGAGUGAGUGGAGUUUCUACGCGCUCAAGUGGGCGCUUGACCAUCUUUUUGUGGGGCCCAAUGACAAGGCCGGUGUGGCGGCGACCCUGGAAGCACCUGCGGGGAGCCAAGAGAAUGUGAGCAUGGCGACUUUGGUCCACGUUAUGCCGCCGUUCUAUGACUACGUCCUCCCCGCUGGGCCCGGUGGAGCUGCAUAUUAUGUGACGCCGGCUCUGUUGGAAUCUGUGCGCAAGGCGCAAGAAGACGGUGCUGCCGAUUUACUCUCCCGCGCUUUGAAGAUAUGCAAGGAUAAGAUGGUAAUUAAUUAGUUUAUAAUACUGUACCGUCCCGUGUUGUGUUAUAUAAUUGGAUGAACUUAAUUAACAUGAUGUGCAGAUCAAAGCAGAAACCCUAAUUCUACGUGGAGGUCCGAAGGACAUGAUUUGCGAAGCCACUGAGCAGAGCCAUGUGGAUCUUCUGGUUGUAGGUAGCCGUGGCCUUGGCAUGGUCAAGAGGUGAUUUUCUUAAUCCACACAACUUACUUUGUUUAGUGAAUUAAGAUUUUUGUUGAUGUUGGCUCACCUAAAGAUGUGGAAUGAGUAAAGAAAACAGACGCUCAAAAGAGUUGUCGUUUUGACUGGGCUCUGCCCCUCGAGUGGAAACUACAGGCGAUUUUCUCAAUCCACACCGUCCACAUAGACAGCUUACUACAUGUUUACUGAACUUAGAUUUUCUCCGUCAAAUUCAGGAUGUUCAUUUGGAAUUCACUCAAAAUACAAAAAAAAAACAUAUAAAUAUUUAUUUUCAUCAGCAUUAUUGUAUUUAAUUUGUAUUAUUCAUUAUUUAAAUAAUAAAAAAAUUUGGUUGGGUGGUGGUGCAGAGCAUUCUUAGGAAGCGUUAGUGACUACUGCGCACAUCAUGCAAAAUGCCCAGUUGUAAUUGUGAAGCCACCAAAGGAGUCUGGAAAGCCACCGAAGGAGACUGGAAAGAAGUAGCUUUUUAUUAGAGUUUUUAUUUAUUUAUUAUGAAAUGUAUCAAGAGCAGAAGGUGUAAACUGUAAAAGUUCCUUUUCAUGUAAUUAUUAUUAUAAAUGGUUUCUUCUGU